rnacentral:rRNA from 1 species
CCUACGGGUGGCAGCAGUGAGGAAUAUUGGUCAAUGGACGAGAGUCUGAACCAGCCAAGUAGCGUGCAGGAUGACUGCCCUAUGGGUUGUAAACUUCUUUUAUAUGGGAAUAACAUGUUCCACGUGUGGGAUUUUGUAUGUACCAUAUGAAUAAGGAUCGGCUAACUCCGUGCCAGCAGCCGCGGUAAUACGGAGGAUCCGAGCGUUAUCCGGAUUUAUUGGGUUUAAAGGGAGCGUAGGUGGAUUGUUAAGUCAGUUGUGAAAGUUUGCGGCUCAACCGGAAAAUUGCAGUUGAAACUGGCAGUCUUGAGUACAGUAGAGGUGGGCGGAAUUCGUGGUGUAGCGGUGAAAUGCUUAGAUAUCACGAAGAACUCCGAUUGCGAAGGCAGUUCACUGGACUGCAACUGACACUGAGGCUCGAAAGUGUGGGUAUCAAACAGGAUUAGAUACCCGUGUAGUC